AAACAUUUUACUCAUAUAGGGUAACCGUAAAUGUUUCUGAGGAAUAUUUAUGUUUUCAUAUUAAUUACAUUUCAAGGUACUGUUUCAAUGUUAACGUAAUGUACCCUACUGCUGCAACGUGUGUGUGUGUGUUAUGUUAAUUGCGCUAAUGUGCAUUUCUUCUGUUGUUAACUGGACGCUGUUGUUUUUGGAGUGUAUGCAGUAUGUACAUGAAUUAAAUAGACGCUUUAUUUAUUUUCAGAUUCAUUAAACAUGUUGUUCCUGGGAUAUGCUGCACUUGUGGCGUUUGUGUUAAUUUCAAAAGGCACCGCCAACGAAACCCGGGACAUAUUGGUGACUGAAGGAGAUCAGGUUGUGCUGCCCUGUGGUGUUGAUGAUGGCUCCUUGGAGAGGUGACGCGGAGGAGAGUCGUGGUGUACGAUACAUGGACGGUGACACGGAGCAAAAACGACUUCAGAGCGAUCGCAUGGACACCGGAGAAUGCGCUUUUGGUUAUUUGGGUUGUUAAUGUAUGGAUGGGAAUUGGCGCGUUGUCAAUCAUUUGCGAGGCCCAAAACCAUUUCUCUUUGCUGAUACCUGUCUUACGUAUUGAGCAUCUGGGGUCAUACCGCUGUCUAUACACUACGAAUUUCUCUAAAAUCAUGCAAAGACUAGAAUAUCAACUCAUCAUAAGAGAAAAAGGUAAACACCAAUGGUGAACUCUGCAACUAACAUCGGAUUACGGUUUCGUUAUUUCUGUAUGGUGAAACGUUUACAGCUACGUAUUUGGGAUGAGUUUGGGAUAUACAUUUAGAUGUCGUAUUUGUAAAGACAAUUUCUGUCAGAUAUUGUUUGUUCCAAUUAGCCCCAUUAUGCACGAAUGUAAAACAUAUUUGUGGAGAUAUUCGUGACGUGCCACAUGAAACUAGUUUUGGCGGGAAAAGCGCGGCGCCGACCUCAUGUUUGUGACGUCACUUCCGGCUCGAGGAUUCUUCCGAAAUUACUUUCGAAUUAUCUGAAACUUCACAUCCAGGCCUGAUUUUUGUUUUGUUUGUUAUGGAGUUAACACAAACAUCGCAAGCAUAUUCCUACCAUGUAAAUGUGUCCACGCAGCUGAAAGAUAAAUAGUAACAAAUAUUUGUUACAAAUGCAAAACAAAAAGGUAAAGAUCCAAACACGAGACGAAGCUUUACGAAUUUCUCACAAAUCUAUCUUAAUCGUAUAUUAAGAAUUAUUUUAUCCUGAAAUAUUUGGACAAUGUUAUGAUAUUGUACACUACGUUAAUAUUUCUAAGGUAUAAAGCCACACUGUAGAUUCCUUGCGUAUCAUAUGCAUGUUUUAAUUAAGCAAUUUUUAACAUUUUCUCAUGAUAAAAAUUGUGUAAAUCCUCUGUUUUAAUAUUAAAACCUAACAUUUCCCUUACAAUUUUUAUUUUAAAUUCAAAAUGUUUACAGAUAUUUAACAUAUGCAAUAUUUUAAAUGAGUGAUAUACGUUUGGUUGACCAAUGUAUUUUACAACUUUAAUUCAAAUGACGUUUUUAACUCAUCAAUGCCUCAUUUUUUGAAUUAGAAUGAUGAGGGUGGUGUGGAGUCACACGAUCAGAGCGGCCUGUAUUGUUCCUAGCUCAGUGGUGUCAUUAAUGUUGUGACUAACGCUCACAGGGACCGAACCAGUUGAAAAUGUCACCACGAAUCCAUCAAGAUGCAUCUCAGAGGUGGCCAGCACAGGUCCUUCUGGCUGUGAGAACUCAAACACAACUCAAUUGACUGAACUUGGCAACAUAUUGGAGCAAUACAAGAUGCUAUUUUUCAUCUGUCUUGCAAUGAUGGCUGUUUUGAUAACAGUGUUGGUCGUGGUAAUCUUCAAACUGGUCAAGCAAAAACAUGAAUGCCUGUCAUUGGUAUCGCAACUGCAAAAAGUCGGCAAACUUUCUGCGGAAGGAUACGCUUCGGUAAGUGUGACUACGCGAGUAACUAUGAAUACAAGCGAUAGUGUGUAGUACUCGUUAUUGUAAAUAUCUGUUUCCUUAACACUCGGUGGACUUGCAGCCUGGGUGGCAGGCUGGCGCAGUGGUAACGCUGAUGCCUCACAGGAAAAAUAUAUUGAAUUCGAUUCCCAACUUGGGUGCCUUUCUGCGUGGUGUUUGUAUAUUCUAUCCCUGUUCUGCAGAGUGUGUGUGAGUGAGUGAAUGCGAGCGUGUACAUGUGUCUAAAAAAUAAGAAUAGGUUUUACUCUUUCUGGCAAUAAAACAGGUGUUUAGUCGUUCCAACACCAAAUAAAAACCUUUUGCAAGGGAUCAAGUCUGCAUUAACCACACGUACUUGUGGUGAACAUGCAAACAAAAAUACUCUGAUAAUAUAUGGCAUUUUCUAUGGAAAUUAUUGGCCUACACAAGAGACAGCCUUCUUUAGGGCCUAGUCUC